GGGUCGAUGGCGUAGCUGGUUAUCGCAUCUGUCUAACAUUAGUGGUGAGCCCUAACGCUUCACAGAAGGUCCUCAGUUCGAACCUGGGUCGACUCA